UACAGAGGAUGCAAGCGUUAUCCGGAAUGAUUGGGCGUAAAGCGUCUGUAGGUGGCUUUUUAAGUCCGCCGUCAAAUCCCAGGGCUCAACUCUGGACAGGCGGUGGAAACUACCAAGCUGGAGUACGGUAGGGGCAGAGGGAAUUUCCGAUGGAGCGGUGAAAUGCAUUGAGAUCAGAAAGAACACCAACGGCGAAAGCACUCUGCUGGGCCGACACUGACACUGAGAGAUGAAAGCUAGGGGAGCAAAUGGG
rnacentral:rRNA from 1 species